AACGAACGCUGGCGGCAGGCUUAACACAUGCAAGUCGAACGGUUGUAGCAAUACAGCAGUGGCAGACGGGUGAGUAACACGUGGGAACCUUCCUAGAGGUACGGAACAACGCAGGGAAACUUGCGCUAAUACUGUAUACGCUCUUGCGAGGAAAGAUUUAUCGCCUUUAGACGGGCCCGCGUCGGAUUAGCUAGUUGGUGAGGUAACGGCUCACCAAGGCGACGAUCCGUAGCUGAUCUGAGAGGAUGAUCAGCCACACUGGGACUGAGACACGGCCCAGACUCCUACGGGAGGCAGCAGUGGGGAAUCUUGGACAAUGGGCGCAAGCCUGAUCCAGCCAUGCCGCGUGAGUGAAGAAGGCCUUCGGGUUGUAAAGCUCUUUUGUCAGGGACGAUAAUGACGGUACCUGAAGAAUAAGCCCCGGCAAACUUCGUGCCAGCAGCCGCCGUAA
rnacentral:rRNA from 1 species